UGAGGCACCUAAAUAUCUUUGAGGAUCUGGGCCUAAAACACUUUUUUGGAGGCAAACAGGAUUUUUGUGACAGGAGGAACUGAACCCAGAUCUUCAGCUAGUGCUCCAACCAAUGCACCAUUUUUCCUUUGAAGACUAGCCCUUUUCAUAGCCUUCAAUAAAUAUAACUAUCCAAAUUAGCUACCCCUCACUCACCGAAUGAAGCAAUGCUGUAGCACCUUGCUAAUGUGCACUAGUGAUUGAGACACAAAUGACAUAGGGCCGAGUUUUGCGCAUGGGCAGGUAAGCAAACAUAUACCGUAUAUACCAAAAACAGAAUCCCGCAGGACAAAAUAGCUUGUCCUGCUUUGUUUGAUAAGUGUGAUUGAAGCAUAUUUACUUCAUGAGUAAAUGUUCCCUUGUAUUUUAAGGGGUGGACAAACACUACGUAUUGUAAGGCAAGACUGUGGUUGAAGCUUCACCAGGAAAAGCUGCCUGAGAAGCCAGAUCCCUGCAGCUGAGUUUUGUGAGGCACCUAUUAUAAAAUGGACUUCAAGCGAAGAAUAGGCAUGUUUAUACAAACAUAAAGGCUCUUUCCAUCAGUCAAGUGACACUUCUGAAACUAGUGAAACCUGGAAAGGGAUGUAAGACUACCUAAAAGACUCCAGAUUGUUCACUGACCCAGUUACUGUAAACGCAACAAAAACAAAACACCAAGCUGAGGGGAUGGACAUCAGGCAGAACAUACCAUACCGCUGCCAAGGCCUUAAAGCAUUGUCUCAGGUGAGGGAGCUGCACACUGACUGAUACUUAGAAGGCAGGCAGCUGGGCUAAUCAAAUUCCAAUGUGAAGGUGGAGAAUUCACUCAGGGAAGAAUCCGUGGAGGUUUUUCAUUAUCCCAUGAGUUUAGUUUGGAGCUGCCUGUGACAGGAUUAUGUAUUAUUGUCUCAAGAGCCAGGAAAAAUGAACUGGUGAGAGAGAGACUGAGCCAGUAUGGCCCCAGCUCCUGGAGUCAAGUGGAUAUGUGAUGAAUUCAGCCUUCACUCUUCAAGAAAAAGUAAAUUUUCUAUCCCUCAUGGCUGUGGAUAUAGCUUCAAAAUGUGAUCCCAGUGGACCCUAAAGGCUCAAAAAGCAGAAGGCAAAUAAAAAGAACACCAAAUAUAUUGUUUUUA